rnacentral:lncRNA from 1 species
UAUGUAUAGCGGUGACCAAAUAUCCUAAAAGACAUUGCACUUCAUCAUUCCAUGCCUUCAGACAUUUAAGGGCCAUGGAUGGUGAUCUCCUCCAGAGACAAAAUAAAUGCUGGUGCACAACAGGUGGCCACAGAGUGCAUCUGCUCUGGGGGACCCAUCGCUCAUAUACCCUCCCAUAAGAGCAGGAAAGGGGAUUCAUAAAGACGUUCUUCUGAUGGGGAAUGCUCUACGAGGCCGCCUUCACAUGGUGAGUAGUGACCGUGACACCUCUGCAGCGUCCCUGGUCACUUGUAGCCCCUGAAAGGGUCAUCGGGAGCAGAUCACUUCUUUUCUUCAGGGCUGGAGAAAGUACCUCCGUGCAUUUUCCAGUGUGGAAGAUGAUCAAAGUAUGACAUUUCUUCUACCCCAGAGGCUGGCAUUUCUGCAGGCACAAAUGAGCUUGGUUUUCAAGCACUGCUCUUUGAACACAAGGAAUUCCUUUAAUGAUCACGCCGGACUAUAUAGACUUUGGAAUCAGACUCUUUGAAUUCCAGCUCUGCCAUUUACCAACUUUGACACUUUGGGUAAGUCCUUUUAACCUCUUUAAGCCUCAGUUUCCUUUUCUGCAAACAGGAAUAAUGAUAAC